GGACUCUUAUCUCAGUUGGUUAGAGAAAUCGUCUCAUAAACGAUAGGUCCUGGGUUCGAUUCCCAGAGAGUCCA
rfam:Anaerostipes hadrus draft genome.